GACGUAGGGCGCGAGCGUUGUCCGGAUUUAUUGGGCGUAAAGAGCUCGUAGGCGGCUUGUCGCGUCGGCUGUGAAAACCCGCGGCUCAACUGUGGGCGGGCAGCUGAUACGGGCAGGCUGGAGUUCGGUAGGGGAGACUGGAAUUCCUGGUGUAGCGGUGAAAUGCGCAGAUAUCAGGAGGAACACCGGUGGCGAAGGCGGGUCUCUGGGCCGAUACCGACGCUGAGGAGCGAAAGCGUGGGGAGCGAACAGG
rnacentral:rRNA from 1 species